rnacentral:misc_RNA from 1 species
GAUGAAGAACGCAGCGAAAUGCGAUACGUAAUGUGGAUUGCAAAUUCAGUGAAUCAUCGAGUCUUUGAACGCACAUUGCGCCCCCUGGUAUUCCGGGGGGCAUGCCUGUCCGAGCGUCAUUGCUGCCCUCAAGCACGGCUUGUGUGUUGGGCCCCGUCCUCCGAUCCCGGGGGACGGGCCCGAAAGGCAGCGGCGGCACCGCGUCCGGUCCUCGAGCGUAUGGGGCUUUGUCACCCGCUCUGUAGGCCCGGCCGGCGCUUGCCGAUCAACCCAAAUUUUUAUCCAGGUUGACCUCGGAUCAGGUAGGGAUACCCGCUGAACUUAAGCAUAUCAAUAAGCGGAGGA